rnacentral:rRNA from 1 species
UACGAGGGGGGCAAGCGUUGUUCGGAAUUAUUGGGCGUAAAGGGCGCGUAGGCGGUGCGGUAAGUCUGAUGUGAAAUCUCCGGGCUCAACUCGGAGUCUGCAUCAGAAACUGCCGUGCUUGAGUGUGGGAGAGGUGAGUGGAAUUCCCGGUGUAGCGGUGAAAUGCGCAGAUAUCAGGAGGAACACCGGUGGCGAAGGCGGGUCUCUGGGCCGAUACUGACGCUGAGGAGCGAAAGCGUGGGGAGCGAACAGG